rnacentral:rRNA from 1 species
CAGUCGCCGCGGUAAUACGUAGGUGGCAAGCGUUGUCCGGAAUUAUUGGGCGUAAAGCGCGCGCAGGUGGUUUAAUAAGUCUGAUGUGAAAGCCCACGGCUCAACCGUGGAGGGUCAUUGGAAACUGUUAAACUUGAGUGCAGGAGAGAAAAGUGGAAUUCCUAGUGUAGCGGUGAAAUGCGUAGAGAUUAGGAGGAACACCAGUGGCGAAGGCGGCUUUUUGGCCUGUAACUGACACUGAGGCGCGAAAGCGUGGGGAGCAAACAGGAUUAGAUACCCGCGUAGUCCCUGUCUCUUAUAC